ACAAUGAACCGGAGAAAUCCACCCACUGAAAUGUUUGGUUAUGGUAUCUGCGAUGUUAUUCGUUUGUGGUCUGGUGGGGGAAGCUGGGGAAACUCAAGGUUUAAUGUGAGCCUCUUGGAAUAGAGCCUUGAAUCCUCUGAAUCAGUGCAUAAGGAAGCAUAAGGAUUAACCCGUUUGUGGUUAUGUUUAUUUUUCAGAUUUAUUCCUGAGCGAAGGUACAGUUCCUGCCUAAAUCAUCAAUUAAACCUUCUAUCUCCAAACUACUAAUUCAUCUAAUAAGAAAAAAAGACUCGAGUAGGGUUGAAAGCUCUGGGAAAACUUUAGUUUUAAUAAUAAGAAAGAUGAUAUUAAUUCAUCCAACUAAUAAUAAGUAAAAACUGGUUAAUAUACCAUAAAAUCAGCGAUGGAUAAAUCGUCCUGGAACACUCUUCCUUUGGUUCUGCCGGUCCUUCAUAUUUCAGCGUAAUAAUUAAAAACAAAUCAAGUGCGCAGCAACAGCUAACACGAUAUAUUUCCACCGAAUUCUUUUACAACGAUUCCCGUUCGAAUAAAUAUGAUAAUUUAUGGCGGACCAUGUCCUCUAUUUGGCUUUGCCUUGGGCAGCAACACUCUCCAUGGCCUUCCGGACUGUCUCUUCAUCCCCGAGGAAUUUCAUCGACACCACAGGCUUCAGAUUAUCAUCGAGUUCGUACACGAAGGGGAUACCAGUUGGAAGAUUAAGUUCCAUGAUAGCUGCAUCGCUCAUAUCUACAAGAAACAAAAAGCUGGAGUUUGAAAAGCCUGGAAUAUUUGUAAGGGGAGGAUGACUCACUGUCUAGAUGCUUCACAAUGCCGCGCAAGCUGUUUCCAUGGGCAGCAAUGAUGAUCUUCUUACCCUCCUUCAUCUGUGGAACAAUUGUGCUAUUCCAGUAUGGGAGGGUUCGUUCAAUGGUGAGCUUCAGUGAUUCAAACAUCGGGAAUUCUCCGGGUUUUGGAUCACCAGCAUAGCGAGGAUCCUUGACGAUCUUGUCGUAGUAUGCAUGAUCGGGCUCCAUUGGCGGUGGGGGAACGUCAAAGCUACGGCGCCAGAUCUGCACCUGUUGCUCACCGUAUUUAGCUGCAGUUUCAGCCUUAUUGAGCCCCGUGAGACCACCGUAGUGGCGCUCAUUGAGACGCCAGGUCUUCUCAAUGGGGAUACCCGUCUGACCGCUUUCCUGCAGAAUUGACGCCAAGGUGACUUGAGCACGUGUCAGGAGGGACGUAUGGGCAACAUCGAAUGUCAAUCCAGCUUCCUUGAUGGCCUUCCCAGCAGCUUUCGCCUCAUCCUUUCCCUUGUCACUGAGAUCAGCAUCGAACCAGCCACAGAAGAGAUUCUUCUGAUUCCACUCUGACUCACCAUGGCGCACCAUCACAAUCUUGUACUUCCCGGCCAUUCUGGAGACACUUCUCACUGCCCGAAUUGUUGAGAAAGGAUUGACUCUGGGAAUGCCGGAAUUUCAAGCAAAUUUUUCCGUCAGUAAUGACCUAUGACGUCACACAAGGUCGCAAGACUCUACUGGGAAAACUUGGAAAUAGAAAUCACAACAAAUUUUUUUAGCAGUGUACUGAAAUUUAUAAUAAAAGAAUUUUAAAGAUUU